UAUGUAGGGGGCAAGCGUUGUCCGGAUUCAUUGGGCGUAAAGAGCGUGUAGGCGGCCAGGUAGGUCGGUUGUGAAAACUGGAGGCUCAACCUUCAGAGGUCGACCGAAACCAUCUGGCUAGAGUCCGGGAGAGGAGAGUGGAAUUCCUGGUGUAGCGGUGAAAUGCGUAGAUAUCGGAAGGAACAUCAGUGGCGAAAGCGGCUUCCUGGACCAGCACCGACGUUCAGGCACGAAAGCGUGGGGAGCAAACAGG
rnacentral:rRNA from 1 species